GUUGCCAGCAGCGCUGGAGCUGCCCGAGCCGCAGCGGAGCCGCUGUUCUCAGCUGCAGCCAGGAUCUGCCCCCGGCCCCGCUGGGAUCCAGACAGGCUGCAGAAUGUUUUGCUCCAGCUCAUCCCAGCCUGGCGUGGGACAGGGAAGAGAAAUGGCUGCAGUGGAGUCAGUCCAGGGGCUGGUGACCUUCAAGGAGAUGGCUAUGUAUUUCACCAGGGAAGAGUGGGCUCUGCUGGACCCCACUCAGAGAGCCCUCUACUGGGAUGUCAUGCAGGAGAACUAUGAGACUGUGACCUCGCUGGGUAAGGGUUCCUGUCCCUUCUGUUCUUGGAAGGGGAAAUGAAGAGUGAAGGUUCAUGCCACCCCCACAAUGCCAUCUGUACCCUGUCCUGUUUCAGCAUCACCCCAAUAGGCCAGUAACAUACAUACUACCAGAGACCCUCCUCUGCUGCAGAACACUUUGGG